AGUGAACGCUGGCGGUAGGCCUAACACAUGCAAGUCGAACGGCAGCACAGUAAGAGCUUGCUCUUACGGGUGGCGAGUGGCGGACGGGUGAGGAAUACAUCGGAAUCUACUUUUUCGUGGGGGAUAACGUAGGGAAACUUACGCUAAUACCGCAUACGACCUACGGGUGAAAGCAGGGGAUCUUCGGACCUUGCGCGAUUGAAUGAGCCGAUGUCGGAUUAGCUAGUUGGCGGGGUAAAGGCCCACCAAGGCGACGAUCCGUAGCUGGUCUGAGAGGAUGAACAGGCACACUGGAACUUAGGAACGGUCCAGACUCCUACGGGAAGGAAGCGUGGGGAAUAUUGGACAAUGGGCGCAAGCCUGAUCCAGCCAUACCGCGUGGGUGAAGAAGGCCUUCGGGUUGUAAAGCCCUUUUGUUGGGAAAGAAAAGCAGCAGGUUAAUACCCCGCUGUUCUGACGGUACCCAAAGAAUAAGCACCGGCUAACUUCGUG
rnacentral:rRNA from 1 species